rnacentral:rRNA from 1 species
AGUUCAGAUUGCAGGCUGCAACUCGCCUGCAUGAAGUUGGAAUUGCUAGUAAUCGCGAAUCAGAAUGUCGCGGUGAAUACGUUCCCGGGCCUUGUACACACCGCCCGUCACACCAUGAGAGUUUGUAACACCCAAAGCCGGUGGGGUAACCUUUUGGAGCCAGCCGUCUAAGGUGGGACAGAUGAUUAGGGUGAAGUCGUAACAAGGUAGC